rnacentral:lncRNA from 1 species
GUGCUUAAUUGGCUGUUUGGGAUUUUGUAGGAAAAACCUUUUUUAGAGAGGAAAUCUUUUAAAUUGACAGAAAGUAUAUGUGCUACAGUUGCCAAUUGUUUUGUUUUAAGUUAUUUAUGUUAUUUCAGGGCUCUGCAUUUAAUUUUUGUUUAAGGGUCAGCUAAAGCUCAUCUCCAGUGGCAGGUGUUUCUCACUGUGUUGAACACCCAUUUGUGGCCUUGGGCUGUUUCUGCUCUUUGUUGGAUGGUUGUCUUUUUGACCCUUUCCCUAUUUUUAUUCUAAAUUUUAGUAAUAUUAAUGAGCAAUUAAUGUUGCUUUAAUUCAUUACUGUUUUAAAAAAAUAAUUUUAAUGCAAUUGAUGUUGUUUACAUAAUAAAUUUGAU